rnacentral:lncRNA from 1 species
ACCUGGACUGCUUAGAGAGAAGCUUUGACUCUCAUUGGAAACAGAAACAUAUCAGUAACUCUGAGUGAACUAGGAACGACACUUGUUUUAUGACUUCCAAGGACAGGAAGCUUCGUUUCAUCCUUCAAGAUACUCAUAUGUUGGAUAUAAAAGAGAUGUCAGGACCAUCUGGCAAACUGUAUUUAGCUGUAGACAUUCUAUAGAGAACCUUUCAGUUAUCCCUCAGAGAUCCGUAACGGGGAAGAUGGAGAGCUAGCCAUGGGCGGAUAAAUCUGUGCAGAGGCAGUUAAGUAUAGCAAAUUGGAAAGGGAAGGAAAAUGAUUCCAGCUUAUGAAAAAUGGGGAAGUGUCUCAGCACCUCCCUAUAAGCCCAACUGUCUGGGUAAUGGAUUUUUACUUGUGAUUGCCAGGAAUUCAUAUAAGAACUCUUGAGUAAAUUUAUUCGACUGAGCAUCAAGGAAGGCAUUUUUGAUUCACAUCGUGAUGAACCUGUUUCCAAACAGGAGAAAGAGUCUCCUUGGUUUAGGCUAAUUAACUGGGUGGGAUAAUGAGCAUCUAUUUUCAUGGGACUACCAAUGGGCAGGAAUGACAAAGAAAGGAAGAGAAGAAACAUUUGUUCAUAAAUACCCAUAAUUCCUAAUGUUCACUUCUAUCACAGUGGACCAGAUCAAACUCAAGCACUGGGCUAGUCUACUUCAUGCAAAAUUUGGACUUCCCAGUGCACAGAAUGGAGAAAAGAAUUCCAGGAAAAUCUACCAAUGCAUCUGGGUUGCAGCACAAGGAUGUUUCUUUUUUUAUAUUCCCAACACCACAGAAAGGCUGUUUCUGUAUGUAUCCAGGAUCAUUGUUCUUCUCCUCUUAAAAUUUCUCUUCCCAGGAGCCUCUGUAUCACUGUGCCCUGCUGUGUUCACUUGCUCCUAUAUCACCAUCCCUUGUGGGCACAGCAAUGCAAGAGCCCAGGCAAUCCUAGAAGCUGUAUGAUGGCCCUGCACACUGUUAGUCCCUCUUCUCCUGCAUAUUUUCUCUUCUCUGAGUUUUCCAGCCUGAAAUGCUGACUGUUCCACCUCGAAGCAACAGCUCCAGAGACCAUGCCGAGGAAGAACUGAGCUUUUCCGUUCUGAACAUCUGCUGAGUAAACAUUCUUCCUCAG